CGGUGAUAAAACAAAGAAUCAACUGUAAUGCAUAUACCGGUUAUAAGGAGAGCAACAAAAAUAGCCUUAAACCAUCUGCAAAAUAAAUGUCGAAACCUUCCUUUCAAAUCUACGAGCUCGAGAAGAAUAAAUGGGAUAGACAAAGCCGCUGAAAAAGGCCAGCCAAUGACAGCACCUAUUGUGAUGAACGAUACGACUUUUACAGUCCGCUUAGUUGAAGGAGGACUAAGUUGGGCAGAAAGAGCCAAUGUUACCAUGUUCAUUGCGAAUGAAGAUGGUAGAAAGCUCGUACUAGCUGACCACAUUCCAGAAUUGACAAACAAAACAGAAGUAAGAUGUAGGGCCACUGCACGAUUGAAAUUUCUAGCAACAGCUAAAAUGAGAUUUGUCUCACAAAAAGCAGAAAAGCAAGCCAACACGCCACGAAUAAAAUAAAAUACAUGUAGGCGGCUUAAACCUAAUCCACGAGCAAGAAACCCAGGAACAGCAUGCAAAGCUAUGUAAAACCAACUACGGAUGGCAUAUUCGGGAGAAUACUCCCAUGUUUGCAAGCCGUAACCGUAUAAUAAAUAAUGCAACGGCUCCCAAUAGUUAUAUACCUCGUCACAAUCAUCGAUUACUCGAAAUGAAGCAGAAGUAAGACGCAAAACUGCUAAAAUGCUGAAAGUCCAAACAAAAGAAACAGAAAGUGACUUCCUUGGCGCUUUCGAAGGCAUUAUCAAAUUAAAUUGAAGUGAAAAGCCAAAAAAUAAGAAAUGGGCAGAAAUAAAAAGACUGAAAUAAACGUAAAAGAAAUGAGAAAAAGUUUCAAUUAGUGUACCUAGCGGAACGAUGAAUAUUAUUGAAAAAAGCUUUCAUAAAUUUGAUACACCAAUUAAAACGGUAAGGUUUAUGCACUAAGACGCUAAUUCAAAGGAUAGCACUCA